CCCAGCCCUAGGAGAGAAAACGGCGAAUGCGGGAGACGUGGUGAUUGCUCCCCUGGUACCCCCCCCAACCCCGUCCGAUUUUACUAUCUCCUGGGGGAGGCAUUCAGAGAAGCUGGAAAUGUAUCAACCCGGGAGCUGCGCGGGAGCGGGAGGAAAGGCGCCCAGCGGCUGGGUGGUCAGGGCAGGCUCCCCGGAGGCAGCGGCGAGGCCGGGGGAGAAGCGGGAGGCCGGGGCCGAGGCCCGGGCGGGGGCGGCCAGCCAGUUAGGGUUAGGGCGAGAGGAUGCGGCUUCCCGGCGGCAGAGGGCGCCUGGCGCUGCGGUCCGGCUCGCCGGAGCCGCCCGCGCGGGCGCCGAGAGGAGAGGCGAGGCGCGGCGAGGCGGGGAGCGCGAGCGGCGGCGGCCCCUGCCACGUCUGGCCGGCAGCGGCGGCGGGAGGAGGUGAGCGGCGCCGGCGCCGCGGGCAGGUGGGCAGGCAGCGGCCGGGCGGGCGCGCGGGGCCCCUGCUGCGGGCCCCGGGCCGGGGAGGUGGCGCCGGGACAGCGCGGUUCCCGCCACGCCGGCUCCGCCUCCGCGCGGGCUGACGGCCGAGGCCCGGGCGCCGAGCGGGUCCCGAGCGCAACUCGUGCGGCGGGCGCCGGGGGGACGCGAGCCGGGCCGCCCGUCGCGGCGCCGGACGCCGAUUGCCCGCCGCUGCGGGGCCCCGGCCGCGGCCGGGAAAAGUUGGGGCGGACCGCGAGCCCGCGUGGGCCGGGCGGGAAGUGCGCGUGCCGGGCGGACUCCGGGGGCCGGAGGGACGCGAGGCUGGAUACUGUAACAGAACACUUGGAUUUUGGUGUAACCUGCCAGCAUGUUUCUGAACCUCUCCCCCGAGGAAGCGAGCGGGUAAGAAGGGUCUCUCAUUGGCCCCUGGGCCUGGAUGAACCCUCCAGCUGAGGCGAGGACUAAGAAGACCUGGACCUAAGGAGGCUCCCAUCGCUCAGCU
rnacentral:lncRNA from 1 species